rnacentral:rRNA from 1 species
CCUACGGGAGGCAGCAGGGAGGAAUAUUGGUCAAUGGCCGAGAGGCUGAACCAGCCAAGUGGCGUGAGGGAAGACGGCGCUACGGGUUGUAAACCUCUUUUGUCGGGGAGAAAAGCGAGUCACGUGUGACUCAUUGAGAGUACCCGAAGAAAAAGCAUCGGCUAACUCCGUGCCAGCAGCCGCGGUAAUACGGAGGAUGCGAGCGUUAUCCGGAUUUAUUGGGUUAAAGGGGUGCGCAGGCGGAGGUGCAAGUCAGCGGUAAAAUUGCGGGGCUCAACCCCGUACUGCCGUUGAAACUGCAUCCCUUGAGUGCGCGAGAAGUAUGCGGAAUGCGUGGUGUAGCGGUGAAAUGCAUAGAUAUCACGCAGAACUCCGAUUGCGAAGGCAGCAUACCGGCGCGCAACUGACGCUCAUGCACGAAAGCGUGGGUAUCGAACAGGAUUAGAUACCCCUGUAGUC